rnacentral:misc_RNA from 1 species
AACAUCGCGCACCUGCGGGAACCUGCGGAAGGAUCAUUAUCGAGUUUACAACUCCCAAACCCCUGUGAACAUACCAAUCGUUGCCUCGGCGGGACCGCCCCGGCGCCCCCGGGCCCGGACCCAGGCGCCCGCCGGAGGACCCCCAAACUCACUUGAUUCCACGGUGUAUCUUCUGAGUGACACAAGCAAAUAAAAUCAAAACUUUUAACAACGGAUCU